rnacentral:rRNA from 1 species
UACGUAGGGUGCGAGCGUUAAUCGGAAUUACUGGGCGUAAAGCGUGCGUAGGCGGUUCGCUGUGUCCGAUGUGAAAGCCCCGGGCUUAACCUGGGAAUGGCAUUGGAAACUGGCGGGCUUGAGUGCGGCAGAGGGGGGUGGGAAUUCCGCGUGUAGCAGUGAAAUUCGUAGAUAUUAGGAAGAACACCAGUGGCGAAGGCGGCUCACUGGGACGGUACUGACGCUGAGACGCGAAAGCGUGGGGAGCGAACAGG